CGUUUGACGUUAGCGACAGAAGAAAGCACCGGCUAACUCCGUGCCAGCAGCCGCGGUAAUACGGAGGGUGCGAGCGUUAAUCGGAAUUACUGGGCGUAAAGCGCAUGCAGGUGGUUUGUUAAGUCAGAUGUGAAAGACCCGGGGCGUCAACCUCGGAAUAGCAUUUGUAAACUAGGCAGACUAGAGUACUGUAGAGGGGGGUAGGAAUUUCAGGUGUAGCGGUGAAAUGCGUAGAGAUCUGAAGGAAUACCGGUGGCGAAGGCGGCCCCCUCGGACAGAUACUGACACUCAGAUGCGAAAGCGUGGGGAGCAAACAGGAUUAGAUACCCUGGUAG
rnacentral:rRNA from 1 species